AUGGUGCACGCCGCGACGUCCGAGCGCUUCAACGGCGUGUUCGCCUCUUUCGACCGCGACGCCGACGGCAGGAUCUCAGCGGCGGAGCUGCGGCUGUGCAUGAAGGCAGCGCUGGGCGAGGACGUGUCGGCGGAGGACGCAAGGCGCUCGUGGCAUCGGCCGACGCCGAUGGAGACCGACUGCUGGACGAGCAGGAGUUCCUCCGGCUGGUGGCGCGGCCGGAGACAGAAGAGGAGGAAGAGCGGUGCCGGGGACUGA
rnacentral:rRNA from 1 species